AUGGACAUCAAGGACAAGGACCUGGCGUCGGAGGAUUCCUUGUGGUCGCUGUAUGAGCGCUGGUGCGAGCAGUACAGGGUGGCACGCGACCUCGACGACAAGACCCGGCGCUUCAACGUGUUCAAGCAGAAUGCACGCAUGAUCCACAAGUUCAACCUCUUCGGCGGCAUGACCGAUGAAGAGGUCCAUCGCGCAUAUGGUCGCUGCUCCAGCAUCAAGUCUGAUGGCCGUAAGCAUCGGCGACAGGGCCGGUUCACGGACGACGCCAUCAACGCCCGCAAGGGCCUCCCGUCAUCUGUGGAUUGGCGCAAACGCCCAUCGGCGGUGACGAACGUGAAGCUACAAGGAGUGCAUUGCGGUUCCUGCUGGGCCUUCGCGGCAACAGCGGCGGUCGAGGGCAUCAACUCCAUCAGGACCCGGAACCAGACGUCGUUGUCCACGCAACAACUCGUGGACUGCGACAAGGGGAACGGGGGGUGUAAAGGAGGAUUCGCGAAGUUAGCCUUCAAGUACAUAAUGCAAACCGGCGGCAUCGGAACAGAUGCUAAGUACCCGUAUGUUGGCCAUGAGGAUGGCCACUGCUCGGCGCCCAAGCCAAACCAGAACACGGUCGUCACCAUCGAUGGCUACAAACAGGUGGCGCCAAAUGAGAUGAUGGCGUUGGAGCAGGCGGUGGCGGCCCAACCCGUGGUGGUCGGAGUUGAUUCAAACUCGACGACCUUCCAACGCUAUGGGCGAGGCGUCUUCGUGGGGUCAUGCGGGACAAACCUGGACCACGAAAUGACGGUGGUGGGCUAUGGCACCACGGAUAAGCACGAAACGAAUAAUCUGUGCCAGUUCCAAGUCCAAGGGAAUCAGCUCGACCAGCUCCACGCCGUCGCUUCCCGAUUUGAGGCCAAGGUGUUCAGCGACUCCCACAACGUGCAGGACUACCUCAGAACAAUAAGCAUCAAGAUGAUGACUCUUCAGAGCAAAUGGCAACCGGCUGCUUCCGACCACCAGGCACACACCGGAGGCCAAGUGCGGCCUCUCAAUGCAGUUCCGGCCUACGCCACCGCAGUGCCGCCGCCGCAAGCGUCGCCAUCAACCACGACUCGUCUCGCUGUAAGGCCACCUCAGGCGCAAAACAUGCAGCUCAAUCAUAAACCAUCACAGCAACCCCCAAUGGCACCCGUUGCCCAGCUCCACCCUUGUGAUCCUACCGUGGCAGCUCAGAUUCAGACUCAGUCCCUGUCCAGGCACCACAACUCCAGCGGCAUGUGUACACGGCAGCCGGUUGCGCAGGCUCCUUUCAACCAUCAGCCACACAUGCCUCCCAAUGCAGUAACUCAGAUUCAGACUGCAGUGCCGCGGUUAACAUCAGCAAAUCGGCUUCCUCCUACAGAUCAAGUGCAAAACAUGGGGAUCAACCCAAUGGCACCCACUGGCCAGCUCCACCCUUGUCAUCCAACGGCGGUUACUCAGAUUCAGUCCCAAUCCAUGGCCAGGCAUAACUCAAGCGGCAUGCGUGCACAGGAGCCACAGCAAGAUUAUUUGAGGGUCAACCAACGGCAGAGUUACCAAGCUCAAGGAGGACAGCAGUCCAAUGUCGGCCCUUUGCAGAUCGGGCCUUCUGGAGAACGUAACAACCAACAAUUUGGGCACCAUCCAGUCGAAGUGGAUUGGAGGGAAGACAUGUUCCAGAGGAUCACAUCCCUCAAGGUCGCUCACUUCUCGGAGCUCGUGGAAUUUCAGCGAGCAAUACAAGCACGCAUCCCUCAGAGGAUAACAAACCAACAGCUCGAGUCAUUACCUAAAGAGCAAGCAGACAAAUAUCGGAAAUUGGUAGAUACCAUGGCAAAGAUUGGUUCUGCAUUGAGCUUCCUACAACUCCAGAAAAGCAACAUACCUGAGGCCAUGAAGGAUCAGUUUGACAAACACCAGAUACGCAUAGAUCGUAUUCUGCAUUUUCACAGGGUCAUGAAGGAUCGGUUGCAGAACCCUCCUCGGGCUGUAAAUAACAUAGGUGCAACAGGUAGCCAGCAGAAACAUCAAGAGCAACCUGCAGCAGAGACGUCGUUUUCGCAGUCUUCAGAAAACGUUCCGGCCACAAGUCUGCUGGUACAGCAGCAAGAGAAUAGCCACGACGUAGCAGGUGAAGAAGCGGUGCACGACGAGGUGCGCCGUGAGGCUGAAGCACCGGUGGCCACCAAUCUUACCGGCAGCAGUACGCCACCAUUGACCAGUGGAAGUGGAACAUGUAGCCAGGAAAAAGAGGACGAUCAUCAUCCAGCAUAUGAAGCAAUUCCACAACUGACACAGAACGCUAAUCCUGUUGAAACUCCACCGGCUCAUCAGCAAACCAAUAGGUCUUUGUCGCCGGCAGCGCUUCGCAGCCUAGCCCAAGAUAUGGGAGUGAACUUGAAGCGGGCCUUCCGCCACACAAUGUCUGGCAGCUGCGCGUGGUUUGAUGAAUCCAGCGGGGAUAGCUGCAACAAGAGGCGAAAAAUGCAUGCUCUUCGCGACGAGAUCAGAGCUGCGUACAGCAUGCUAGUGGAGACGGAGAUCAGAAUCACCGAUGACGACACAGGAGGAGCGGACGGGGCGGUGGUGAUCGAGCUCUGCUACAUCCCAGUGUCGCUUACACCGGACCUCAGGGAGGUUAUCGACCCUUCUGAGAUGUCGACAAAGCUGCUCGUCCCUGCGGACUACCCACGAAGCUCCCCGGUGCAUGUCGGAGAUGACGGCGGACACAGAAAGGGGAUUGCAGCUGGCGUGCUGGACGUGGAGUUCCGACGUGCCCUCGGCCAACUCCCGGAGCCCAGGUCAAUCAAGGGGAUAGCCAAGGCGUGGGACGCCUGCGUGCGGAGAGCCGUGGUGCAGUUUGCGCAUGGCCUCGGCGGAGGGACGUUCAGCACGAGGUACGGCCGGUGGGAGAGCUGCAUCGGAGCCUGA
rnacentral:rRNA from 1 species